rnacentral:rRNA from 1 species
GGUCAGACUGCGGCCUGAUUGGAACGCUGGCGGGAUGCUUUACACAUGCAAGUCGAACGGCAGCACGGACUUCGGCCCGGUGGGCGAGUGGCGAACGGGUGAGUAAUGUAUCGGAACGUGCCUAGUAGCGGGGGAUAAUCACGCGAAAGCGCAGCUAAUACUGCACAUUGCUCCUUCGGGGGAAAGCGGGGACCUUCGGGUCUUCGCACUAUUAGAGCGGCCGAUAUCGGAUUUUCGGGCUGCACAGUAACGGCUCACCAGUGGCGGUCGAUCCAGCUGGUUUGAGAGGACGACCACACACUGGGACCAGACAUUCUGGUGGAUCUACGGAGGGAGGUGGCAGUGGGGAAUUUUGAUAAAUGGGGAAACUGAUCCGCAGCCAUAAUUCCAGGCGUGUGACAAGGCCAUAUUAGUAAAAGCACUUUUGGCAGGGAAAGAAACGGCACGGGAUAAUACCCGUGCAACUGACGGUACCUGCAGAAUAAGCACCGGCUAACCACGCCAGCAGCCGCGGUAAUACGUAGGGUGCGCGUUAAUCGGAAUUACUGGGCGUAAAGUGGCAGGCGGUUCGGAAAGAAAGGAUGAAAUCCAGAGCUUAACUUUGGAACUGCAUUUUUAACUACCGAGCCGGAGUGCCAGAGAGAAAUCGCGGGGUGUAGUGGAAAUGCAGAUAUGCGGAGGAAACACCGACAGAAGAAGGCAGCCUCCUGGGAUAACACUGACGCUCAGUGCAAUAUGUGGGGAGAAACAGAUUAGAUAUACUCCUGGUAGUCCACGCCUCAAACGAUGUCAACUUAGCUGUUGGGGCCUUCGGGCCUCGGUGGGGCAGCUAACGCGUGAAGUUGACCGCCUGGGGAGUACGGUCGCAAGAUUAAAACUCAAAGGAAUUGACGGGGAUCUGCACAGCGGGGAUGAUGUGGAUUAUCUGAUGCAACGCGAAAAACCCAUCACCUUGACAUGUCUGAAUCCCGGAAGAGAUUUGGGGAGUGCUCGCAAGAGAACCGGAACACAGGUGCUGCAUGGCUGUCGUCAGCUCGUACGUGAGAUGCCAGUUAAGUCCCGCAACGAGCGCAACCUCUUUCUAUUAUUAGUUGCUGCCGAAAGGGCACUCUCAAUGAGAUCACGGUGACAAACCGGAGAAGGUGGGAUGACGUCAGUCCUCAUGGCCCUUAUGGGUAGGGCUUCACACGUCAUACAAUGGUCGGGACAGAGGGUCGCCAACCCGCGAGGGGAGCCAAUCCCAGAAACCCGAUUCUAGUCUGAUCGCAGCUCGUAACCUGACUGCGUGAAGUCGGAAUCGCUAGUAAUCGCGGAUCAGCAUGUCGCGGUGAAUACGUUCCCGGGUCUUGUACACACCGCCCGUCACACCUUGAGUGGGUUUUACCAGAAGUAGUUAGCCCAACCGUAAGGAGGGCGAUUACCACGGUAUUCAUGACUGGUGAAGUCGUACUGCUGGUAA